AACGAACGCUGGCGGCAGGCUUAACACAUGCAAGUCGAACGCAUCCUUCGGGGUGAGUGGCAGACGGGUGAGUAACGCGUGGGAACGUGCCCUUCAGUUCGGGAUAACCCAGGGAAACUUGGGCUAAUACCGGAUACGUGCGAGAGCAGAAAGAUUUAUCGCUGAAGGAUCGGCCCGCGUCUGACUAGCUAGUUGGUGGGGUAAUGGCUCACCAAGGGGACGAGCAGGAGCUGGUCUGAGAGGAUGAUCAGCCACAUGGGGACUGAAACACGGCCCAAACUCCGACGGGAGGCGGCAGGGGGGAAUAUUGGACAAUGGGCGCAAGCCUGAUCCGGCCAUGCCGCGUGAGUGAUGAAGGCCUUAGGGUUGUAAAGCUCUUUCGUCCGGGACGAUAAUGACGGUACCGGAAGAAGAAGCCCCGGCUAACUUCGUGCCAGCCGCCGCCGUAA
rnacentral:rRNA from 1 species